rnacentral:rRNA from 2 species
CAGCCGCCGCGGUAACACCAGCCCCUCGAGUGGUGGGGAUGAUUAUUUGGCCUAAAGCGUCCGUAGCCGGCCGAGCAAGUCUUCCGUUAAAUCCAGCGUCUCAAGCGUUGGACCGCGGGAGAUACUACACGGCUAGAGAGUGGGAGAGGUCAGCGGUAUUCUGGGGGUAGGGGCGAAAUCCUUUGAUCCCCGGAGGACCACCAGUGGCGAAGGCUGCUGACUAGAACACGUCUGACGGUCAGGGACGAAAGCUGGGGUAGCGAACCGGAUUAGAUACCCGGGUAGUCCCAGCCGUAAACGAUGCAUGCUAGGUGUUGGGCUGGCCACGAGCCACCCCAGUGCCGCAGGGAAGCCGUUAAGCAUGCCGCCUGGGAAGUACGAUCGCAAGAUUGAAACUUAAAGGAAUUGGCGGGGGAGCAC